rnacentral:rRNA from 1 species
UCGAGGAUAUUUCGCAAUGGACGAAAGUCUGACUAUGUGACGCCGCGUGAGGGAUGAAGGUCUUCGGAUCGUAAACCUCUUUCGAUAGGGAAGAAAACCUACUCUUAACGGAGUAGACUGACGGUACCUAGAGAAGAAGCCACGGCCAACUCUGUGCCAGCAGCCGCGGUAAUACAGAGGUAGCGAGGGUUACUCGGAUUUAUUGGGUGUAAAGGGCAAGUAGGCGUCUUAACAAGUUGGAGGUGAAAUCCUGCAGCUCAACGGCAGAACUGCUCCCAAAACUGUUAGGAUUGAGACUGGAAGAGGAAAGCGGAAUUCUCGGUGUAAGAGUGAAAUCGGUAGAUAUCGAGAGGAACACCAGUGGCGAAGGCGGCUUUCUGGUCCAGUACUGACGCUGAAUUGCGAAAGCUAGGGGAGCAAACA